rnacentral:lncRNA from 1 species
GUGAAACUCCAGAAUUUCAAAAAUGGAAACAAAAAUAUUAAAAUCAGUUUAAAAGGCUGUUUACCUACAAAGAAAUAACAGACUAAUAACAGUGUCAGAAGAAAAUCAGGAUAUCUUUAUUGUGCUAACAAAAGGAGAUGCCUGGCUAGAACCUUAUAUCCAGUGAAAUGAUCUUUUAAGAAUGAGGCAAAUAGAGACACAUCUAGACAAGCAAGUUUGUCCCUAGCAAAACCUUGCUAGCAAACUAUAAACACGCCAUUUCACUUUAAGAUGCUGGGGACUGUAUACAACUAGCAGUAACUCUGCAGAUGCUGGGAACCCAGCAGUGUGGAACUGUGAUCACAGACAGCGUAAAAUGCCUACGAAGCCCUCUCCUCCAAAUGCUGUGUAAAUAGUUGAAAAUAAAGCCCGAAACCUCUCUGUAAACAUACAGGAAAUCAGUAGAAGAUUCAUUAAGGCGCAGUAUCCAAGGGCAUCAGAGAUUCUUACUUCUCUCAUAACUUUCAAAGAAAAAGAGGAAGGAAGGAAGGAAGGAAGGAAGGAAGGAAGGAAGGAAGGAAAGAAAGAAGAAGAAGAAGAAGAAGAAGAAGAAGAAGAAGAAGAAGAAGAAAGAAAGAAAGAAAAAAAGAAAUGCAUCCUUUAAGGUGAGUAAUUAUAAAUAACAAGAUUUCUAAGAUUUACAAGUGAAAUUACUGAACUAAUGUUUAGUAAAAUGUGCCCUUCAGCAAAGAUGCAAUCAGCGUACUUUUG